ensembl:lncRNA
GAGACUGAUAGGUCUGCAGCUACCAGGAUCAUCUUUCCGGCCCAUUCUUAAGAUGGUUGUCACAUUUGCCAGUCUCCAGUCCACCGGGACAACCCUGGUUAGACAGGACUGUUGAAGGAUGAUGGAGAGUGGCUUGGCAAUCACAUCACUCAGCUCUCUCAGCACCUUAGGGUGCAGAAUAUUGAUACUGAUGUCCCGACUAGAAAAUAACAUUUACUUCCCCUUUCCUAUUAAAAUUUAGGUUGUUAAAAUUCCUGCCAUGUGGCAUAUAAUUGGGGUUCCGACCUGUGAUUAUUUUCUUAUUGGAAAUACCAACCAUGCAGAAACCCUCAAAGGUGAGAGAUGCACAUGGCAUUGACAGAUUGGUACCAUAUACUGUCAUUAUGCUUAAUGUAGAUGUCUUGGAAUUAGGAAUUAGAAUUGGUGUGAUAGUAUCUGACCUUGAAGAAAGACUCCUUUUGAUUUCAGUGUACUUUAGCAUAGGUCCUAUAAUUGUUUUUGCACAAAUUUUUCCUUCGUUCAUAUUAGUUGCAGAUGUUGAUGCUUCUAAUUUCUUUAUGCCUGUUUUCCUUCCAUCUCUCUCUACUCUUUGUGAUUAUUGUUUGUAAUUAAUUGCAUUGGAUGACAUUGCUGGGGGAGGUGUUUGGGGAAAAUCAGUUUCUAAUGAUGCUUGCAGAUCAUGUGGGAUUUCCAUUAUUAAGCAGGAAUGAUGACUGAGUACAGAAAAUCUGGAAAUAAAUCUGUGAUUUAGAAUCCAAAGGUAGCCGAGUGUCAGCGUGUCCAAAAUGGAGAAAUCCAAUAUUCUCUUCUAUAAUGUCUGAUCACAGUUCAUUAACAACUUACCAAUUGCUUACAUGAGCUUUUGGUACAUUUUGCUUGUAAAUCCAACAGAACUGUUGGGCUAAUUAAAAUGUAAUAAGCUGUUAUAAAUAAGAACGGGAUAAACCGAAAGCUAUUGAUUUUCUCUAGCCAUGACAUAUUUAAACAUAGGCAGCAGAAGCUGAAGUGCUUUUGCAAACUGAAUUCAUUGAAUAUGUAUAAAAUGUAUGUGGUUUUCAUUUGUGAUGUUACUUGUUUCCCUCCUUUUUUCUUCUCAAGUAAAGAAAAACACCCCCAUUUGCAAAUGUCUCACACUGCAGUGACUUCAAGGGAAUCACCUGAGAUUUAGGCUUGUGUACUGAAGGAAGAAACUGGAAGCAACUGACUUGUCCCCAGAACACCAGCUCUGUUAAUUAUCAAGGAUUUGAUUAGCGGAAAUUUGCCUGAGCGACUCUAGGAUCCAAAGCUGCAGAUUAGGCAAUAAACCAACCAAACAAGAAGCAGUUGCUGAGUUAAAAUAAUGAGGGCAAAGCAAGCGAAGAUGUUUCCCAAGGAUUGUAAUCUGUCUUGGCCAGAAAUCGUCAGCUGUGUCUACACAACAUGUAGAACAAGAGGGACUUGGUAUACAUCUUCAGUGGCUUCAACUUUACACCUGCAAGUUACUGUCUACAUGAGGUACCUUCAACUCUGUUGCAAG